AUUGAACGCUGGCGGCAUGCCUUACACAUGCAAGUCGAACGGUAACAGGUCUUCGGAUGCUGACGAGUGGCGAACGGGUGAGUAAUACAUCGGAACGUGCCUAGUAGUGGGGGAUAACUACUCGAAAGAGUGGCUAAUACCGCAUGAAAUCUACGGAUGAAAGCAGGGGAUCGCAAGACCUUGUGCUACUAGAGCGGCCGAUGGCAGAUUAGGUAGUUGGUGGGAUAAAAGCUUACCAAGCCGACGAUCUGUAGCUGGUCUGAGAGGACGAUCAGCCACACGGGGACUGCGACACGGCCCAGACUCCUACGGGAGGCAGAAGUGGGGAAUUUUGGACAAUGGGCGCAAGCCUGAUCCAGCAAUGCCGCGUGCAGGAUGAAGGCCUUCGGGUUGUAAACUGCUUUUGUACGGAACGAAAAGCCCUGGGUUAAUACCCUGGGGUCAUGACGGUACCGUAAGAAUAAGCACCGGCUAACUACGUGCCAGCCGCCGCCGUAA
rnacentral:rRNA from 1 species